ensembl:lncRNA
CCUGGCUGUAAGCAAACCACAAUAUUCAUAAUUCAUUGAGAUUUCACGAUGUAGUACCGCCCCUGUCAAGGUGGAUCCAAUUGAGAAUGGGUAUCAAAAGGUAGCUAGCUAAUGAUACUCCCUGGAUUAGCCAUUCAUCCAUAGAACGUCAGCUUGUAAAUAACUAUUUAUUUUGUAUUUUUGUGUAGAGAACAACUGUAACAUUUUGUCAUGGUGUGGUGCUCAGUACUUAGAUGUGCAAACUACAAGCAACCACAGGCUGUUGGGGUAACAUUUCAUUGGUUACCUUACUAAGAAGUCAAGCAGAGAGUCCAAUUCCAUCAACAUCUAUAGCAGCAUAAACAUCGAGCUAAGCACCAGGACCCUUUGCUAAAUCUUUCCAUGACUCCAUGAUGAGCAAAUAAAUAUACUGGAGGUUAUGAGAAUUACCAUCUGAAGCUGAAGCAAUAUUCCUUGACCCAAGGACUGUACUUGACAUGAUACAAGAUCAACGGUGAAGUGUUCAUUAGUGAAGUCCUUAUCAACCAGUGGAACAGAAGAAGAAUUCCUCACUACCGGCAGACUGUCCAAACAUAAUUUCUAAUAGUUAUCUAUGUGGGACUGAUACUAGUGUGGAAGAGCUGGUCACUUUUAAAAUACUUGCUAAUUGGACAAUUUAAUAUUAUUGUCUUCCUGCUUAUACAUGAUGCGGUAGGAAUCGUAAGCGACAUCAUCAUUACACAUGUCAAUACUUAUUUUAUAUAACUUUGUUUGAAAUCUAUUUCUUAUUGUAAAGCAAGUAGAAUAUGCCCUUUGUGUUUUAUAGAAAUGCAAGGUGUUUAAUGUGAAUGAUUUUAUGCUUACUGCUAAUGUUUUUUAUACUUUCUAUUUUUUCAUGUUUUCUAUUGUUUUCUAAAAAUACAUUUAAAGUAUAUUUAUUUUUAAAAUGGUCUAGGGGGGAGUGUAAGAAUAUUUAGAAGAUAAAUACACAAUGCAGAGGACGAGAGGUCAAUAGAGUACUAACGGUCAAGAGGACUAAAAGCCAAUAGAGUACUUACGGUCAAGAGGACUAAAAGCCAAUAGAGUACUAACGGUCAAGAGGACUAAAAGCCAAUAGAGUACUUACGGUCAAGAGGACUAAAAGCCAAAAGAGUACUAACGGUCAAGAGGACUAAAAGCCAAUCGAGUACUAACGGUCAAGAGGACUAAAAGCCAAUAGAGUACUAACGGUCAAGAGGACUAAAAGCCAAUAGAGUACUUACGGUCAAGAGGACUAAAAGCCAAAAGAGUACUAACGGUCAAGAGGACUAAAAGCCAAUCGAGUACUAACGGUCAAGAGGACUAAAAGCCAAUAGAGUACUAACGGUCAAGAGGACUAAAAGCCAAUAGAGUACUUACGGUCAAGAGGACUAAAAGCCAAUAGAGUACUAACGAUCAAUGGAAAUUGUGUUUUUUUCUGUAGUAGGGCAUUAAUGAUCAAUGGGUGUCACGAGAAUUUUCAAUCCCAAUGAUAAUAACAAUCAAUCAAUAGCUUUGACAAAAUCCCUGAGGUUUAUAAAACCAUGGGUUUAAUAAUAAUUAGUCAAAGACUCAGCUUAUGCAAAAGGUCAGUACAGUUUAUUCACGAGAACGUUCUAAACUAAAUAAUAGAAAAACAUCCAUUUUAUUGCUGCGCACAUACUUCCACACACAAACAGUAGGUAUCCUACGCACAUACUGUAUCACUACCCAGCCGACAAAGAUUAGGGAGACCUUGAGACGUACUCCCUGUCCUCUCCCAAAUCUCUAGUCAGGUCGGUACCGAAUUUUGCUCAGACAGUCUGUGUUUAAGAUACGAUAAAGACAUAUUGUACAUAUACAUUGUUUUACCCUAAUUCUGACUAAAACUACACUCACAGAUAUAUAAUUUUACUGACUAAAACUACACACAUAAUUAGUGUCACGUUCUGACCUUUAUUUCCUUUGUUUUGUAUUCAUUAUUUAGUAUGGUCAGGGCGUGAGUUGGGGUGGGCAGUCUAUGUUUGAUUUUCUAUGAUUUGGGGAUUUCUAUGUUUCGGCCUAGUAUGGUUCUCAAUCAGAGGCAGGUGUCAUUAGUUGUCUCUGAUUGAGAAUCAUACUUAGGUAGCCUGGGUUGCACUGUUUGUUUGUGGGUGAUUGUCUAUGUUGAUUGCUUGUUUCAGCACAGUUCGCAUUAGCUUCACGGUUGUUAUUUAGUUUAUUGUUUUUGUAUAGUGUUUCAGUGUUCAGUGUUUUCUUUAUUAAAAUUCAUGAUGAACACAUACCACGCCGCAUUUUGGUCCUCAGAUCCUUCUCUCCUCAUCAGAUGAAGAGGAGGACGACCGUGACAAUUAGAAUAAUUUCAUGAUUCUAAUCAAUUUUAUACAAUUAUAUGGUUUGAGGGUGGAAUAUUCUAAUCAUUAAUUUAAACAUUUAAAUUCCAUUAUCAAUGGGUCAGAGACAUGGGAGUCCGGGACUCAUAGCUACAUGGUAAGUUCUCAUUGGUCCAAAUUGUUUAUACAUUGAGCCUGAAAUAUGAUACUUGUUAUUUGGCCAUUGUCCCAGCUAAUUGCAAGGAAUUCUAAUUGGUCAACCACAGGCUAGGGUUGGGUUAUAAAACUACAUCCUGUCCCUUUGUUCUGUGGAGAGAAUCAUUGAGGAGAGAAUCACUGAGGACCGGGGAGAAUGAGCAUCUACCUCCCCGCAUGAUUUGUUCUCUUUGAAUAAACCUAUUUUCCUCCCCCUG